UACGUAGGGGGCAAGCGUUGUCCGGAAUUAUUGGGCGUAAAGAGCUCGUAGGCGGUCUGUCGCGUCGGGAGUGAAAAGCUGGGGCUCAACCCCAGUCCUGCUUCCGAUACGGGUGGACUAGAGGUAUGCAGGGGAGAACGGAAUUCCUGGUGUAGCGGUGAAAUGCGCAGAUAUCAGGAGGAACACCGGUGGCGAAGGCGGUUCUCUGGGCAUUACCUGACGCUGAGGAGCGAAAGCGUGGGGAGCAAACAGG
rnacentral:rRNA from 1 species